UACGUAGGGUGCAAGCGUUGUCCGGAAUUAUUGGGCGUAAAGGGCUCGUAGGCGGUCCGUCACGUCGGGAGUGAAAACUUGGGGCUUAACCCCAAGCCUGCUUCCGAUACGGGCGGACUAGAGGUAGGCAGGGGAGAACGGAAUUCCUGGUGUAGCGGUGAAAUGCGCAGAUAUCAGGAGGAACACCAGUGGCGAAGGCGGUCU
rnacentral:rRNA from 1 species